rnacentral:tRNA from 1 species
GCGGGGAUGGCGGAAUUGGUAGACGCACUGGACUUAAAAUCCAGAGAUCGUAACGAUCGUGGGGGUUCGAGUCCCCCUCUCCGUACCA